GGAUCAGACAUGCAAGUCGAACGAGGUUAGUCUGGUAGCAAUACUGGGCUGACCUAGUGGCGAACGGGUGCGUAACACGUGACCAACCUGCCUGAAAGUGGGGGAUAGCUCGGCGAAAGCCGGAUUAAUACCGCAUGUGAUCGCAAGAUUAAAGCAGCAAUGCGCUUUUAGAGGGGGUCGCGGCCUAUCAGCUAGUUGGUGAGGUAAAGGCUUACCAAGGCAGCGACGGGUAGCUGGUCUGAGAGGACGACCAGCCACACUGGAACUGAGACACGGUCCAGACACCUACGGGUGGCAGCAGUCGAGAAUUUUUCUCAAUGGGGGAAACCCUGAAGGAGCGACGCCGCGUGGAGGAUGAAGGCUUUCGGGUUGUAAACUCCUGUCAUCUGGGAACAAAACUCGCAAGAGCUUGAUAGUACCAGAAGAGGAAGAGACGGCUAUCUCUGUGCCAGCAGCCGCGGUAAUACAGAGGUC
rnacentral:rRNA from 1 species